rnacentral:rRNA from 1 species
AGCGAACGCUGGCGGCAGGCUUAACACAUGCAAGUCGAGCGGGCACUUUCGGGUGUCAGCGGCGGACGGGUGAGUAACGCGUGGGAACGUGCCCUCUGGUUCGGAAUAACUCAGGGAAACUUGAGCUAAUACCGGAUACGCCCUUUUGGGGAAAGGCUUGCUGCCGGAGGAUCGGCCCGCGUCUGAUUAGCUAGUUGGUGAGGUAACGGCUCACCAAGGCGACGAUCAGUAGCUGGUCUGAGAGGAUGAUCAGCCACACUGGGACUGAGACACGGCACAGACUCCUACGGGAGGCAGCAGUGGGGAAUAUUGGAACAUGGGCGCAAGCCUGAUCCAGCCAUGACGGGUGAGUGAUGAAGGCAUUAGGGUUGUAAAGCUCUUUUAUCCGGGACGAUAAUGACGGUACCGGAGGAAUAAGCCCCGGCUAACUUCGUG